UACGGAGGAUGCAAGCGUUAUCCGGAAUUAUUGGGCGUAAAGCGUCCGCAGGUGGCUGUGUAAGUCUGCUGUUAAAGAGUGAGGCUCAACCUCAUAAAAGCAGUGGAAACUACACGGCUAGAGUGCGUUCGGGGCAGAGGGAAUUCCUGGUGUAGCGGUGAAAUGCGUAGAUAUCAGGAAGAACACCGGUGGCGAAAGCGCUCUGCUAGGCCGCAACUGACACUGAGGGACGAAAGCUAGGGGAGCGAACAGG
rnacentral:rRNA from 1 species